AGUGAACGCUGGCGGUAGGCCUAACAUAUGCAAGUCGAACGGCAGCACAGUAAGAGCUUGCUCUUACGGGUGGCGAGUGGCGGACGGGUGAGGAAUACAUCGGAAUCUACUUUUUCGUGGGGGAUAACGUAGGGAAACUUACGCUAAUACCGCAUACGACCUACGGGUGAAAGCAGGGGAUCUUCGGACCUUGCGCGAUUGAAUGAGCCGAUGUCGGAUUAGCUAGUUGGCGGGGUAAAGGCCCACCAAGGCGACGAUCCGUAGCUGGUCUGAGAGGAUGAUCAGCCACACUGGAACUGAGACACGGUCCAGACUCCUACGGGAGGCAGCAGUGGGGAAUAUUGGACAAUGGGCGCAAGCCUGAUCCAGCCAUACCGCGUGGGUGAAGAAGGCCUUUGGGUUGUAAAGCCCUUUUGUUGGGAAAGAAAAGCAGCAGGUUAAUACCCCGCUGUUCUGACGGUACCCAAAGAAUAAGCACCGGCUAGCUUCGUG
rnacentral:rRNA from 1 species